GUAGGAGGAUUUCUUGCCGCGGAUCGCGGAGGCGAGUUGGUCAUAAAGGAUCGCUUAUUAUUAUCGAAUUACACGUGACGAAUCGCGGAUGUGAACGACAGUUAUGAAAGGAUAUUGUCUGAGUGAAUCGAUUUUACGAAGAUAUUAAAAUUAGACAUCGUGCACGAGCUUCGAUCAUCUUCGGCAUUUACACUUGCAUAUGUCAUCGAUAGACUUAUCGCACGGAUAUUGUUUAUGCAUUAUGUCACACGAUAUUUUGUAUUCUGUCAUACAUAUGUAACAUCAAGUUAACCUAUAUUUGAGCGCAUAACUUUGUAUAAACCUGCCGAUUUUUUCCCGCUCCGAAUUCGAUAUGCGUAUUUGACUUUUUAAACGGCGAAAGCAUGCGUCAACGAUUCCUCUCGUGAUUCGUUAAAAAAAAAAAUGCUCUGCAGCAAUACGUCCGCACGAUAAUCGAUACCGAGAAUAAUUUUUCGGUCAUUGUUUGCUUCGAAAGUCGAUGCGAUAGCUCGCUUUAAAAAAAAAACGCGAAUACAGAUUUCUAAUUUCUUGUUGAAGUCAAUGAAGGAAAAGAUGUAAUUCAAUAUUGCAUAUCAGAUAAAAGUAACAAUGUUGUUUGAAAAUAUUCAAUAUAUAAAUAUUGGUAGAAUAAAAAGAAAUUUGCAGAUUCAAUUCGCGUACGAAAUGCAGGGAUUAAGUAAUGUAAAAUUUCCGGAAGAAGAGAAGAGACAAGCCAAGGAGAAAAGAACGCUCGAUGCGAUAUAGCAGCCGGCCCUCUCGACUUGCGUGUCGCGCAAGAGCAAGUCCCCUCGGUUCGUCUAAGGCCUUUCUUCAUCGUGUAUAUGCAGAAACGUGCGAUGCGAGCAGAAAUAAUUGGACGCGUGGCUGGCUCUUUCUGGCAUCGGAAGAGUCUGUUGGCCCACUUCCGGAUCGAAUAUGGCCAUAUCUCUGAUCGUUUAACUGUUUACGUUCACCAGUGAGACUACCAAUGAUACGCAAGUUUUAAAUUCGUUAAUUGGCACUGGAAAGCUUCAAACGAGUAUGUUUAUAUGUUAAACAUAAAAAAAAGUUCUUUUAACAAACAUAUGUCUGUA